AUUGAACGCUGGCGGCAGGCCUAACACAUGCAAGUCGAACGAGUGGCGGACGGGUGAGUAAUGUCUGGGAAACUGCCUGAUGGAGGGGGAUAACUACUGGAAACGGUAGCUACUACCGCAUACCAUCGGAUGUGCCCAGAUGGGAUGAGCUAGUAGGUGGGGUAACGGCUAACCUAGGCGACGAUCACUAGCUGGUCUGAGAGGAUGACCAACACAACUGGAACGGAGAAACGGACCAGGCUCCUACGGGAGGAAGCAGUGGGGAAUAUUGCACAAUGGGCGGAAGCCGGAUGCAGCCAUGCCGCGUGUAUGAAGAAGGCCUUCGGGGUGUAAAGUACUUUCAGCGGGGAGGCGUUACCCGCAGAAGAAGCACCGGCUAACUCCGUGCCAGCAGCCGCGGUAAUAC
rnacentral:rRNA from 1 species